GUGAAAUACAAAUCGGACUAGGAUAUAGCUGGUUUUCUGCGAAAUCUAUUUUAGUAGAUGAUUUAUUUAUUUUAUUAGUGGGUAUAGCACUGAAUAUCUAGUUAUCUAGAAGGGAGUAUGAAAAUACUUACUUUGGAUAUUUAAUCUCAGAAUAACUAAUAAGAUGAUUAGAUAAGUUAUCAGACUUUUUGCGAUAAGGUGAGAAGUCGAAAGGGAAACAGCCCAGAAUAAUGUAUAAAGUUCCAGAAUUGUUAUUGAG
rnacentral:rRNA from 1 species